GGGCGGGGGAGGAGUGAACUAGCUAACUGAAUCAUAGAAUUUUUAAAAAUUCAUGAUGUCGUAAGGGAAAAUAAUGAUAAUACCUUACUAUGAGUGUUGUCCAAAUCUGGUGCCAGAAGACUCGGUAAGACCAGAAACGCAAACGUUAAUCAUCAUAAACAGGCGUAAAGGGUUUGUAGGCAGCUUUUAUCAGAUUAUGAAUUCAAAAUAAAGUAGUCUAAUUAAAAGCUAGAAUCAAAAAGAGGUUAUAGUGUAUAACGCCUAGAGGAGGGCUGAUAUCCAUAGAUCCUAGGCAGAAUACUAAGGGCGAAGGCCACUUUCCAUUAAUGAUUGACGCUGAGAAACGAAGGUUAGGGUAGGAAAUAGGAUUAGAUACCCCGGUACUCCUUUCUGUAAACGAUGAAUGGUAGUCAUUAGUUAAACAAAAAUAACUAGAGACAAAGUUAACACAAUAACCAUUCCGCCUUGUGAGUACUACUGCAAAGUAGAAAACAAAAAAAUUAGUCGGUCUCGAAGCAAACGGAGUGAAGCAUGUUAUUUAAUUCGAUAUAAUCCGCCA
rnacentral:rRNA from 1 species